AACCAUAGAAACCUGCGGAGUACCUGCGGAAGGAUCAUUAGAAAGAUCGACCCGAAAUAUGGACGAUCAAAUCCAUAUCCACCUUGUGUGCACCUAUUGACCGUUCGCUUUGGCAGGAGUCGUCUUCGAUCCGGUCCGGAUCCGAAGCGCGAAGGGGGGAGGUUCCCUCGUCAGGGGGGAUAGCCGUACCCUGGCCUGCCAGAGUUUUUUUUCCCCUUUCAAAGGGAAAAGAUCCACACC
rnacentral:misc_RNA from 1 species